UCCUUGGUGAUCUAGUGGCUGAGAUUCUGCGUUCUGAAGGCAGGGGCCCUGGGUUUGAUUCCUGGUCAGGGAA
rnacentral:tRNA from 1 species